GGGGUUGAUUGGAAUCGACAGGAAAUGCAAAGGGUCGGCAAGCAUGCCGUAGGAUGAUAGCACGCUACGUAAAAAACGGUUAUCGAACCACAAAUGGCAAUACUUCUUUUGCCGUUGCUGCCUAAUUCAGAGAAUUAGUACGCAACUGUGCCUGAGACCCGGAGCCUGGUAAGGUCUCUAAGGCGCAUCAAAACUGCAGGCUGGCUCUGGCGGAUUCCGGACGUUGGGGCGAGAUUUUCGGAAUAAGCGUCCAUUAGCUCGUUUUCCUAGCUCACUGGUCGCCGAAAAUUCAAUGGGAAACUAAGCAUGUAGAAAACCUGCUUUUUCUUUCGCUGGACGCGGGUUCGACUCCCGCCAACUCCACUU
rnacentral:tmRNA from 1 species